rnacentral:rRNA from 1 species
AUGGAUGGAGAACUAAAGCUACACCCAUAUUGCGUGGCGAAAUAUGGAAAGAAGUGGCUCGAGGGGUAUAGCUUAGAGAAAAGAAUGGAAGGCGCUAUAGGGAAAGUAAGAAUACGGCUCUCCUAUCUACAACCGGGUAAAGCAAAAGUUGGAACAUACCCUAUACUCCGUUUGCAUCCUACGGGGGUCAAGCUACUGGGGGAACUGCGCCUAUCAGUAAUUUUUUCAGCAGAUUCAGUAGCGAAAGUGCUGCGCAUGUACUCUUCCCCCAUUCUACCCGAGAUGCACUACAAGGAAAAACUUUCAGAGAUUGUGCAAGAUAAUUUGCGGCUUCAUGCUGUCAGGAUAUUGUCUGCUCGAUUCAGCCAGAUGGAUCCCCCUCUUUGGAAGGAAGUUGUGGAGGACAUGUGUGACAUUCGCAGCACCUCAUGGAGCAUGCGGAAGAGCAACGCAAACUUCUAUAGGAUCGUGAGUGUCCUCUCUUACUACCAUGCAUUUUACGAAUGGCUUGGUGGCAUAUGUUUAUGGAAUAAUCCUACGACCACUUUGCUGGCCCAUGCCAUGUUGCUCAUGCUUGUUUCAUAUCCUGAGUUCAUACUCCCAGGGGUGUUCCUAUGUGUCCUCUCUGUUACAGCGUGGAACUACCGGUGCCGCCAUUCUCAUCCAGCUGUUACCUGGCUCUCUCUAACAAAUGAAGCACAUCCAGAUGAGCUUGAUGAGGAAUUUGAUACGUUUCCAACUUCACAGAAUCCUAGAGUAGUAAUGAUGAGAUAUGAUAGGCUAAGGCAUGUUGCCGCCAGAAUACAGACAGUCCUGGGAGAUUUUGCCUCCCAUCUGGAGAGAAUCCAAGCAUUGGCCAGCUGGAGGGAUACUCCAGCAACGGCAAUAUUUGGGAUCUUUACUCUUUCGGCAGCUCUUGUUCUAUAUUUUAUACCAUGGAAAAUUCUCGUCCUGCUUACUGGGCUAUACACGAUGAGGCACCCCAAGCUGCGACGGCAGACGUGGAUGCCGUCAAUUCUUGCAAACAUCUACUGGCGAUUGCCGCAGAAGACACACAUGUUGUUGUAA